rnacentral:rRNA from 1 species
UCGAGGAUCUUUCGCAAUGGGCGAAAGCCUGACGAAGCGACGCUGUGUGAAUGAUGAAGGCCUUCGGGUUGUAAAGUUCUUUCGCCUGCGAACAAGAAAAGCCAGUGAACAACUGGCUGAUUUGAGGGUAGCAGGUAAAGAAGCACCGGCUAACUCCGUGCCAGCAGCUGCGGUAAUACGGAGGGUGCAAGCAUUAAUCGGAUUUAUUGGGCGUAAAGGGCGCGUAGGCGGAUUUGUAAGUCAGGUGUGAAAUUCCGAAGCUCAACUUCGGAGCUGCAUUUGAAACUGCGAGUCUAAGAGGGGUGGCGGAGAAAAUGGAAUUCCACGUGUAGCGGUGAAAUGCGUAGAUAUGUGGAAGAACACCGGUGGCGAAAGCGAUUUUCUAGCUAUUACCUGACGCUGAGGCGCGAGAGCAAGGGGAGCAAACAGGAUUAGAUACCCCCGUAGUCC